rnacentral:sRNA from 1 species
AAUAACUAGCUGAAAACAACAGUGUCGUUUCGUUACUAGUCAAACCGAGUUGUUGCCACAAUAAACCCACACCCAAGCUCCGAUAAAAAAGCCUAGAAUCCUUGUUUUUUCGGAAUCCAAAACGUCGACGUUUCAUAUUCUCGUUCAGCGGUCGGAGGAGCAGAUGACCAGCGGCAGCGGCGGACACGAAAUCGCAGCUCCACUCAUGAAGUCGAUGAUGUUGCAUUGGAAUCAGAACGAAAUUUCUACUAUCUCUGGCGAAUUUGACCUCAUUGUUGCGAGUGACUGGUCACUUUUUUGAAGGAAUUCCACAAUGGACUUGCUCAAAUCCUCAAAUUCCUGCUGGGAAAAGUGCAGCCCUCUGAAGCUAUGUUCUUCGGUCCCAAAAGGGGCGUCUCCUUGGACGAGUUCUUAGAGAGAAUCAAAGAAUGUGAUUUGCGCUUCAGCAUAGCGGAGAAUUAUGAUGCAUAAAUUUGGAAGCUUCAUAAGGAGCUUUUGGAUGGUACUGGUCCGUGGCCUAGCUAUAAAAAAGAUCACUGCUAUCCCUUAUUGAUCAAAAUUACGGUAUGAACUUUUGAACCCAUAUUCCUUCUUCAGCUGCUCAUAUUUCGGGGAAUGUAGAUUCUGUGUGGUAGCAUGGAUUGUGUGUGCGAAUUGUUUUGUUAUCGUAAGGAAUGGGAAAUGGAAUGUACAGCCAAAGUUCGGUAUCGUUGCCCCCGCAAAUGGUGGUGGAUACAGAUCCAUAGUCACUUAAACACCAGAUUCCUUCCUUAUCAUUGUGUAGAUCCUCCCUCAUUUGUAGCUACCAAUUGGAAUGGAAAGAACGGCAUUACCCAUUUUGGUUGAUGCAAAAUAAUUGUGAUUUCCUUUUUAAGUCUGUAGGUCCUGGCAGAUUUAUAGUUUACCAAUUGUAAUGGAAGAAUGGGAUUUUGCUUUUUUCUUGAUUGAUAUUAAAUAUUGUUGAUUUCCCUUUUAGCAUGUUCUGGGGGGGGGGGGGUGCAUGAAAGUUAUAAACUUUCGUCUGAAGACUCCUUAUCUUUAUUUGAGCAUCAAGUCACAUAAUUAGCUUUAAAAAUAUAGCCAUCCAUGACUAAACAUUGACAUGGACAGUAAAGGACGCUGCGGAACAAUGUCAAAAGCGAUAUAUACUCUUUGGAUCGGUUAAACUAACAUAUCAUGGAAGUGGGAGAUUACUUGUUUGCUUUGAAGCUAUGUGUCACUGCAGGCUCACAGAAAGGAAGAACCCUUGUCUGCUUAGUGUCAAGAUGACACGUCCUGGAUCAAAUCCAAAGCUUUUUUAAAGGUGGAUUACGAAUCAUCGUUGAAAAUGGACCAGUCAUGAUCAGAUCAAUCAUCUUAUCCAAAGGAAAAAGUUGGUUGUUCUCUGUCUUUGUAUUGCUUUGCUUUGUGUGGUUUCCCCACUCAAGUGGUUGAAGAAUCACCUCUUUGUAUACAUAUACAUCCAUGAUGUCGAACUCCAAGGAAAUCAUCGUUGUAGGGCGGCAAUUUGGAACAUACUUACGACAACAUGUUUAGGCUUGUUUGCUUAUCUUGUAUGAUGAUCAGAAUGGGAGACCCCUACACGCACUCCUUUUGCUGUCAAUUCAUCAAUGCUUACUGCGCACGCCUAUCAUCGUGCUACACGUUCACAUCGAAAAGUGCUUGCGUAAGUGGAUUAUGUGGUGGUUAGAUUACGAGUAAUUCUUCUGUGUGAUUGUCGCACUAUCACAAAAACAGAACGUG